UUUCUUUAUUCUUUUGCAUAUGCACAAAAUAUUAAGCGCACACUUUGGCCAGUGCUUGUAGCGCAACCAAAACUUCGAGGUGCACACACUUGCACGCACACGCAGGCACAAGAAGAAGCAUGCACACAGCAAUUACAUUUGCAGGUCGCUUGCUCGAUACGCGGAAGACAAAGGGCGGAAGUAGCCCAACAAGUCCAUGUCCAAUGCCUCUGGCCUGUAAUAAUCGACUGAAAUAAAUAAUAAUUUUGUUAGAUAGCAAAGCCUGCGGCGAUGCCUUAUUUAAAUAUAUAAUAUAUGCAUAUUCUAUGUAAUAUUCUAUAUGUUAAUUCUAAGUUCAAACCAAUGUCAAGGUCCGCUAUAAAAGAAGAAAACUUGUUCUAGUCAAACGAAUCCCGCAAUGCUGAGCAAUAAAUCAAACGUGGAAUAUCA